rnacentral:rRNA from 1 species
UACGGCGGGUGCAAGCGUUGUUCGGAAUCACUGGGCGUAAAGGGCGUGUAGGCGGUCCGCUAAGUCUGAUGUGAAAGCCCGGGGCUCACCCCCGGAAGGGCAUUGGAAACUGGCGGACUCGAGUCCCGGAGAGGAAGGUGGAAUUCCUGGUGUAGCGGUGAAAUGCGUAGAUAUCAGGAGGAAUGCCGGUGGCGAAGGCGGCCUUCUGGACGGUGACUGACGCUGAGACGCGAAAGCGUGGGGAGCAAACAGG